CACACUCACACCCAAACAACAGGAAAUGCCGGAUGGCUCAGCUGUGGUGACGACAGGUUAAAACAAAGUAACACAUCCAUGAGUAACGUUACAACUCGGAGCUGCAUUUUGAUUUCUGUUUUCCGUUAAAGCACCGCGAUGGCCGGCACCGCGCUAAAGAGACUCAUGGCCGAGUAUAAACAGCUGACCCUGAACCCACCAGAGGGGAUUGUAGCAGGUCCGGCCAACGAGGAGAACUUCUUCGAAUGGGAGGCUCUCAUCAUGUG